GUUUACGACGUCAAAAGCAACGGAGUAGCCUACAUACACAGACAGAGAGGGGGAGCCAGCACAGAAGCGAGCGGCGGCAAUACCAUUCCCCUGCCUAUUAUUCUAACGAACCGCUUGAAUAAUCUAAACGAGGUUGUCAUUUUGGUAUAUAAUAGUAUUGUAAUCACAUUUGGAUUGGGAAAAAAAGGUUUGGUACACAAAGAUCACAACAAAACGGCGAGAUCAAGCAGUACUGGCCGAUGUUUGUGUCGGAUAAAGAACCGUCGCUGGGAUUGGUUACGUGCGCUCGCGGAGGGUAACUCAGAUAGGUCCUGAUUUACACCCCAAUGAACAAAACAGGAGACGAACACGGACAACAGUAAUUACUAUUAAACGAAUAUUGUAGGAAAAACCCGUGCAGAUCCCAUCGAAUCGUGGGAAAAGUAAAGAGGACCCCAAACCGAGCGUCUUAGAAUCAUCUGUUCAUCAUCAUCUCCAAGUCCUCCGGAGAUCUGGGUCUCCCUGACUCUUCCCCUGUCCGCUCUCUGUCUGUCAUUCUCCGGGAAUCAACCGGUCGUUCCCACCCCACGACGUUUCAAUGAAGGAGGCCGACGCGAUCAAGCUCUUCAUCGGGCAGAUUCCCCGGAACCUGGAGGAGAAGGAUCUGAAGCCCAUCUUUGAACAGUUUGGAAAGAUCUAUGAGCUGACGGUGAUAAAAGAUAAAUACACGGGGAUGCAUAAAGGAUGUGCUUUCCUGACAUACUGCGCCCGCGAGUCUGCCCUGAAGGCCCAGAAUGCACUGCAUGAACAGAAGACGCUACCAGGGAUGAAUCGUCCGAUCCAGGUGAAGCCAGCAGACAGUGAAGGCAGGGGGGAAGACAGGAAGUUGUUUGUGGGCAUGUUGGGCAAGCAGCAGUCAGACACGGACGUGAGGAAGAUGUUCGAGGCGUUCGGCAGCAUCGAGGAGUGCACGGUUCUCCGCGGGCCAGACGGAACCAGCAAAGGGUGUGCGUUCGUGAAGUACCAGAGCAACUCAGAGGCCCAGGCAGCCAUCAGCGCUCUGCAUGGGAGUCGCACCCUCCCGGGAGCCUCCUCCAGUCUGGUGGUGAAGUUUGCAGACUCGGAGAAGGAGAGAGGGAUCCGUCGCAUGCAGCAGGUUGCGUCCCAGCUGGGGGUCAUCAGCCCGAUGACCCUGCACCUCGGGGCUUACAACGCCUACACGCAGGCUUUGGUACAGCAGCAGUCCUUGGUCGCCCAGUCCGCCUAUCUGUCUCCUGUUGCCACGGUAGCGGCUGUGCAGAUGCAGCAACUGGCCGCCCUCACCCCCAGCAGCAUCAUCGCCUCCCUCGCUCCCUCCUCAGGUAAGGCAAUAUCUCCAGGGACCAGCACCCCGCCCGCCAUCGCGGCCCCCCCAGUGCCUGCCCUGCCUCCACCAAUCGCUGUCAACAGCUACCCCACCGUCCCAGCGCCACCCAAUGGACAGUCAGCGCCCGAAGCCCUUUACACCAAUGGGGUUCACUCUUACCAAGCCCAGAGUCCUGUCCUGGAUCCCCUCCAGCAGGCUUAUACAGGCAUGCAGCACUACACAGCUACCUACCCUGCAGCGUAUGGGCUGGUGGGCCAGCCGUUCCCGCACCAGCCAGCCCUGGUGGCCCAGCAGCACCAGCAGCCACAACAGCUGCAGCAGAGAGAAGGUCCAGAGGGCUGUAACAUCUUCAUCUACCACCUGCCCCAGGAGUUCACAGACUCGGAGAUGCUCCAGAUGUUCCUGCCCUUCGGCAACGUCAUCUCCGCCAAGGUCUUCGUCGACCGCGCCACCAAUCAGAGCAAGUGCUUCGGUUUCGUGAGUUUCGACAACCCGUCCAGCGCCCAGACCGCCAUCCAAGCCAUGAACGGCUUUCAGAUAGGCAUGAAGAGACUGAAGGUGCAGCUGAAGAGGCCUAAGGAUGCCAACCGGCCCUAUUAGGGGCAUCUGAAACCGCAGAGGGGGACUUUCCCGUCCAUACAUAUAUCCUGGAGACCGCAUCGCUAUGGCUACGGUUGCCUAGCAACCGCUAAAUCCUCCCCCCCUUCCUCUCACAGUUGGAAAACGUGUAAGAAUUCAAUCAAGAAAACCACUUGGGAUGUCCCAGCCUUUUGGUUGUAUCGCCAACCAUAUAGCACAGCAACAACACUUCACACACGGGGAAAAAAAUAAAGGAAUAUAUUGUAUGUAUCUGCAAAAAUAACAACAACGCCAGAUGUGUUGGUGACUCUGGUGUCCCUAUACUCUAUAGCUGGAUACCGUCCGAUUAUGUACAUAUACAUCUCUUCUACUGCCAGCCACCAAGGUCUACAUGAAGAAGCAUAUCACUGGUUUUAUUCUACUAAAAACAGGGUUUUACUGUAUAGUGUGAUUUGUGGUCCAUAAAACAAAAGCAAAUAAGGUAUGAGGAUAGGAAAGAGGGAUGGUAACUUUAUUGAAGAAAAAAAAAAGAAAAUACUAUUCUGUAUGAUUAUACCAUUGGUAAAAUUGUUAUGUAGAGUUAGUUUAUUAUUUAAAAGUAAAUUAAAAGAAAGGGGAGAUUGGGAGGGGGGGUGAUUCCGCUGGAAGAGAACUACAUUUCUUUUCACUUGUAAAUACCUUGGUUUUCAAUGAAGUGAAAGAGACAAACCUUUGUGAGUUUUAAGAUUCUCUGCUACCACUACUUUUAGUAUUGGCUUAGUGCGAGGGAGGGCUGGGAAUUUUGUAUCUUGAUUUUUUACGUUUAAUUUAUUUGUUAAUCAAUCGAUGAAGGAGGCGACAUGGCAAUUUUUUAUUUUAGAAAAUUUAGGAUUCCAGUGGUCUGCAAGACCAUGGAUACACUUAUUGUAGAGUUUUUAAUUACAUAAAUGUACUUAUGGGGGGGAAAUCAUUAUAAUGUUUCUUUAUUUAUUCUCUACAAUUGCUGUUUUAAAAAUAUGUCUUUAAUGAAAUAAAGUACA